UACGUAGGGUGCGAGCGUUGUCCGGAAUUACUGGGCGUAAAGAGCUCGUAGGUGGUUUGUCGCGUUGUUCGUGAAAACUCACGGCUUAACUGUGAGCGUGCGGGCGAUACGGGCAGACUUGAGUACUGCAGGGGAGACUGGAAUUCCUGGUGUAGCGGUGGAAUGCGCAGAUAUCAGGAGGAACACCGGUGGCGAAGGCGGGUCUCUGGGCAGUAACUGACGCUGAGGAGCGAAAGCGUGGGGAGCGAACAGGAUUAGAUACCCUGGUAGUCCACGCCGUAAACGGUGGGUACUAGGUGUGGGUUUCCUUCCUUGGGAUCCGUGCCGUAGCUAACGCAUUAAGUACCCCGCCUGGGGAGUACGGCCGCAAGGCUAAAACUC
rnacentral:rRNA from 1 species